rfam:Schistosoma margrebowiei strain Zambia genome assembly, scaffold: SMRZ_contig0009332
AUCCGGCUGAUGAGUCCCAAAUAGGACGAAAUGCGCGUCCUGGAU